AAAUGGUGGUGUUAAGAAACAAGAAGCAGCUCUCUGUGGGGUUCACUCUGUGUGAGUCCCCAGGCUCCCUCUCUUCCAACUACUCUGAAUCAUGGCCGCUGCUCCAGCGGGGAGUUCUGUCUGAUGGCACCACUGUCUUGUGUCCUAAGAACCAUGGUUGCCUUAGACCCCCCAAGGAUCUGGGACCUAGUUUCAACUUGACCAGACUCCUGAGACUGGGGCCCUUUCUGCCACUUUGAGAUGCAGAUGAGGCCCAACUUUACUACGGAUAUAGAAUUUGGCUUCUCCAUCAAAGGGGCCAGAUUACUCAACUCCAUGAGACUAAGACGAUGUGACCAGAUCAAAACUACCGCAUUUAAAGUGAUCUUACUGCUGAUCCCUGUGGUCUCUCAACCUGAUGAUGUGCAAUUCAAUACAACUUGGAGAAAAGCAGCAAGGCUAGUGCUUCUGGUGUCUUCAGCGUUUUUGGUGUCCUAGGCAUGCGUUGUCAGUGUUAUCUUAAAUUCCCAGUUGUCCGUUUGUUACAGUGAGAUAAUAUUAUCUGUAAAUACAUUGAACUGGGCUCAAGUAACCUGCACUGUGUCCCAAUAUGCAGAGAACAAAGGAAUCGACUGCAUCAGUGCCGCCAACCCCUGAAGAGGAGCUGGAUUUCCCUUGCCUCUUAUCUGAGAGCUGCCAGCUACCAGAACUCAGUAGAAUCCUUCCCAGAGGUCAGUGCUCCAUGGAGAGCAGAGUCCCUGACCAGAGAUCAUCUUGGCUCUGUUUGGAAUUUGUUGCUGUAGAAAUAGCAGAGAUAUCAACAAACUCAUGUUCCUGGGGCUGGACAGGCUGAUGAGCCCAUCUGCAGGGCAGGAAUAGCCAGAAGAGAAAAUUGAGCAAGAAUCUAAUGAUGACCUAGAGGAGAACCAGGAAACAGAGGACCUGAAAACAACAUGAAUUUGGAACGUGAAAAGCAAAUCCAGUUACUCAAUACAGUAGGAGAGCCUACGUGAGACUUGGUGAAGAGCAGUCAGGCUUCCCAAGAAAAGACUAUGCUCAUGCCUCAGAGAAGUCAGACCUCUGCUGCAUCUGCUCACAUGGGACCUUCCUCAUGUCCUGGUAAUCACAGGAGCUUUAAUAAACAUAUGGGAGUCUGUAGGGAGUUACUUGUGCCUUCUAAGUUUUUCCUAUCCUGGCACAAGAGGGGGAGAAAAUAAUCCAACCAAAGAGAAGUAAAGAGUAAUAACUAUACUCUUCUUACAGCCCCUAAACAGAUUUGCUGAAACUUUGAGCUCCUAGUGCCUAUCUCCUUUCCCUCAGAAAGCCCCUAAGGCACCUCCCAUUCUCUCCUUCACCACCAAAAAACAAAGGAUUAGAGUCCAUAAUGGACUCAAUUCUAAAGUAUUAUUUUCUAUGUAUCACAAUUAUCAGAAAAUUGAGGAGCAAGCACAAUUUAUCCUUCUGGUGAUAUGUGAUUUUCUUUCUUAAAACAAAACAAAACAAAACAAAACAAAAAAACAAACUUUGUCAGUUCUAGGACAAAGGAAGAGUAAUUAAACUUAGACUUUCUUAAGAAUACAUGUAACCACUAAAAGAAUAGAAAUGGAAUGUAUAAUUAAAAGCUAGUAGCUGGGAGCGGUGGCUCAUGCUUACUAGCACUUUGGGA
rnacentral:lncRNA from 10 species